AGUGAACGCUGGCGGUAGGCCUAACACAUGCAAGUCGAACGGCAGCACAGUAAGAGCUUGCUCUUACGGGUGGCGAGUGGCGGACGGGUGAGGAAUACAUCGGAAUCUACUUUUUCGUGGGGGAUAACGUAGGGAAACUUACGCUAAUACCGCAUACGACCUACGGGUGAAAGCAGGGGAUCUUCGGACCUUGCGCGAUUGAAUGAGCCGAUGUCGGAUUAGCUAGUUGGCGGGGUAAAGGCCCACCAAGGCGACGAUCCGUAGCUGGUCUGAGAGGAUGAUCAGCCACACUGGAAGUGAGACACGGUCCAGACUCCUACGGGAGGCAGCAGUGGGGUAUAUUGGACAAUGGGGGCGAGCCUGAUCCAGCCAUACCGCGUGGGUGAAGAAGGCCUUCGGGUUGUAAAGCCCUUUUGUUGGGAAAAAAAAGCAGCAGGUUAAUACCCCGCUGUUCUGACGGUACCCAAAAAAUAAGCACCGGCUAACUUCGUG
rnacentral:rRNA from 1 species